GCAUACACACACACACAUAUAGAUAUAUAAUACUUAUUAAUAAUACUUUUUAAUUUACAAUUAACAUCCACAAAUUCAAAUAUUUAUAAUUAAAUAAUAUAUAAAAAUAUUAAUUUAUUUGUGCUUUUAUAACGACUUUAUUAAUUUAAUUUCUAAUAAAUACCAAUAUUAAUUGUGAUAUACUUCCUUCGCCCCUAAAAAUUAUGACUUUAAUACUAUAUUGGUAUGUCCUUGAAAAUUGUGAUUUUUCCUUAUUUAGAAAUGACCUUGCAAACUUCUCCUCUAACUAUUUACAACAAAGUGUGAGACUCAAUCUCCACUCAAACACAACUACCAUAUUUUUUCUUAAAACUCGUAUCAUUUCUAUUGAGUCACAAUUUUUAGGGACAAAGAAAUUGUCAUUUAAGUAUUAUUUUAAUUAGGAAUUAAGAAUUUAUAAAAUGAAUAAUAAUUACAAAUGAAUGAGAUUUGACAAAAACUCAAAUGGUGAAGUUUUAGAUUGCCAUGCAUAUAGCUAGGAGGAAGAAUAGAAGAGAUAUUUUUCAGUUAUUACCGCUCGUCUCUUCCUCAACGCAAUGAAAUCUUUUCCAUUUUCAUGAGUAUAUUAGCAUCACACACACACAUAUAUAUAUAAACUUUUAUUAUUUUCACAAGUAUAUUACAUUUUAAUAUUUACUAUUUCUAUUACAAUUAACACCCACAAAUCAUUUAAUAGCAUCACAUCACAAUUAGAGUUAGACGUGCUAAAUAUCUAUAAAUAAUAUACUUCUUUCGUAUACGUAAAAUCUUCACAUUUUUUCAUUUUGAAUCGUCUCCCAAAAAUAUGCAUUUUUAAUUUUUUGAACACUACCCCACCACAAUCCAUUUUUUGUUAAAAUAACAUAACACCAUUAAUUGAUUUAUGCAUUCGUAAUUAAUGUCUUUAUUAAUUGAUUGAUUAAUAAAUAUUAAUAUGUUAAUAGUGAUAUUCCAUUAAUAAUUAUAAUUAAAAAUUAAGAAAAUAUAAAUGAAGAAUAAUUACAGAUGAAGGAGAUUUGAGGAAAAUUUAAAUUGUGAAGUUUUAGAUUGACAUGUAAGAGAGAUAAUAUUUUCAUAUUAUUACUACUCAGUCUCUUUUCGAACCCAACAAAUCUUUUACAUUUUCAUGAGCUUAUUAGUGCAAAAAUAUAAUAAUAACAAUUAAUAAUAAUUUUAUAUUUUAUUUUCAUGAGUUUAAUACAUUUUAAUAUUUACUAUUUCUAUUACUAUUAUCAUCCACAAAUAGCAUCACUUCACAAUUAUAGUUAUAUAUGUGCUAAAUAUUUAUAAAUAAUAUAUUAAAAUACUAAUUAAUAUAUGCUUUUGUAACGUCUUUGUUAAUUGAUUGAUUAAUAAAUAUAAAUGUUGACAGUGAUAUGUCAUUUAUAAUAAUAAUAAUAUUCUUAUGCAAUCAGUUUUUUUUUCUCUUUAAAAUAAUAAAUAAUCAAAAUUAAAUAUAAAGUCUGAUUAAUUUAAAUAAAAUCUGCAGCCCAAAAAUUUAAUCAAUAUGUAGAAGCCCAAACUUAAAUUAAAUCAACCCAAGACAUAUAUAAAAUUCGCAGCCCAUGCUUUAAAAUAAAUAAUAAUGCAGCCCAACAGGAUUAUAAAAAAAAUCAGCCCACAACUAAAAGCCCAAACCUAUUUCCAUUUUUUUAAAACAAACCCACCCCCUUCUUCUUCAACAUUUCUCACGCAUACACACACUCACAGGUACUGAUUGAAGAAAAAUAAGCAAACACAUAAAAGCAAGAGAGAUAUUAAUGGUGGUAAAACCUAACUAGAGCUAUUACAUAUAACUUCGAAGUUGGGGCCUGCCAAGCUCUGCACUGCUUCGUUCUUACGCGAAAGCCCAACUUGAACAUGAAAUGGAAGAUCUUCCCCUUGUAAUUCCACUUGUUCCUCUACGAUCUCCUUUGCGCACAUCACAGCAGAUUCGCCACAAUCGCUCAUCGUUAUCUUUUGCAGCAUCGGUAUGUCUCCAAUUUGAGUCGGGAUCUCCUUCAACUCUUGCAUAUCAUAAAGAUGAAGCGUCUCAAGGCGUGGAAAGAUGGAGUUCGAUUCCGCAGUCCAAUGCUCCAAACUACGACACGAACCCAUUUCCCACUUGCCUGUUCCAAAGCACCCGUACGACAACUUGAACUUCUCGAGAAGGGGCAUUGAACCUAUCUUUUCCAAUAUUUUUUCCCAUUCAAAGCCACGAUUCAUGUCAAGAGUCAACUUCUUGAGGCUUUGGGGGAAUGUGAGCGCAUACAGAGAAGCUCCAAAAUUAUACCAGCACCAUAUGUAGAGGGAUUCCAAUUUACACAGACGUUUGAUAUUGUUCAGACAAUAAUAAUAAUCUUGCUCGACUCCCCCUCUCCCAAGAUACUCUAUCACCAAUUUUUUGAUAUUGGGAAUUCUCUUAACCACCUCUUCACUGCACUUGAAAUUUGCUAUUCCCUCAAGCACCAGUAGAUUCUCCAUGACAAGGACAUCAUCACUCGAAGGUUCUGGAAGAUAAAAUCUUCCUCCAGUCAUUUCAAUAUGCCUAAGUUGUGGCAUUCUCC
rnacentral:lncRNA from 1 species